CGUGAGGAACCUGCCUUCCAGAGGGGGGACAACAGUUGGAAACGACUGCUAAUACCGCAUGAUGCAUUGAAGUCGCAUGGCUUUGAUGUCAAAGAUUUAUCGCUGGAAGAUGGCCUCGCGUCUGAUUAGCUAGUUGGUGAGGUAACGGCCCACCAAGGCGACGAUCAGUAGCCGGACUGAGAGGUUGGCCGGCCACAUUGGGACUGAGAUACGGCCCAGACUCCUACGGGAGGCAGCAG
rnacentral:rRNA from 1 species